ensembl:lncRNA
GGGAUGCGGGCUAGUAUACUGCUGACUGGGGCCAAUGGGGCAAAUAGGGAUGCAGGGUGGUAUGAUGCUGGCUGGGGCCAAUGGGGGCCAAUAGGGAUGCAGGGUGGUAUGCUGCUGGCUGGGGCCAAUGGGUCCAAUAGGGAUUCAGGGUGGUAUGCUGCUGGCUGGGGUAAUGGGACCAAUAGGGAUGCAGGGUGGUAUGCUGCUGGCUGGGGCCAAUGGGGCCAAUAGGGAUGCAGGGUGGUAUGCUGCUGGCUGGGGCCAAUGGGUCCAAUAGGGAUGCAGGGUGGUAUGCUGCUGGCUGAGGCAAAUGGGGCAAAUAGGGAUGCAGGGUUGUAUGUUGCUGGCUGGGGCCAAUGGGGAUGCAGGGUGGUAUGCUGCUGGCUGGGGCCAAUGGGGCCAAUAGGGAU